rnacentral:rRNA from 1 species
GAUGAACGCUGGCGGCGUGCCUAAUACAUGCAAGUCGAACGAAACUUCUUUAUCACCGAGUGCUUGCACUCACCGAUAAAGAGUUGAGUGGCGAACGGGUGAGUAACACGUGGGCAACCUGCCCAAAAGAGGGGGAUAACACUUGGAAACAGGUGCUAAUACCGCAUAACCAUAGUUACCGCAUGGUAACUAUGUAAAAGGUGGCUAUACUACCGCUUUUGGAUGGGCCAGCGGCGCAUUAGCUAGUUGGUAGGGUAAAGGCUUACCAAGGCAAUGAUGCGUAGCCGAAUUGAGAGGUUGAUCGGCCACAUUGGGACUGAGACACGGCCCAAACUCCUACGGGAGGCAGCAGUAGGGAAUCUUCCACAAUGGGCGAAAGCCUGAUGGAGCAACGCCGCGUGGGUGAAGAAGGUCUUCGGAUCGUAAAACCCUGUUGUUAGAGAAGAAAGUGAGUGAGAGUAACUGUUCACGUUUCGACGGUAUCUAACCAGAAAGCCACGGCUAACUACGUG